ACUAUUUUGGCAGAAAAGUGUGAUGAUUUUAGAAUUCAUUAAUAUAUAAUUUAUUAUAUAUAUAGUA
rnacentral:tRNA from 1 species